GACGAACGCUGGCGGCGUGCCUAAUACAUGCAAGUCGAACGGAAAGGCCCUGAUUUUGUGGGGUGCUUGAGUGGCGAACGGGUGAGUAACACGUGAGUAACCUGCCCUUGACUUUGGGAUAAAUUUAGGAAACUGGGGCUAAUACCGGAUAGGAGCUCCUGCAGCACGGUGGGGGAUGGAAAGGUUCGGCGGUUGGGGAUGGAUUCGCGGCUUAUCAGCUUGUUGGUGGGGUAGUGGAUUACCAAGGCUUUGACGGGUAGCCGGCCUGAGAGGGGGACCUGCCACAAUGGGACUGAGAUACGGCCCAGACUCCUACGGGAGGCAACGGUGGGAAAUAUUGCACAAUAGCCGGAAGCCUGAUGCAACAACGCCGCGUGCGGGAUGACGGCCUUCGAGUUAUAAACCUCUUUCGCCUGUGACGAAGCGUGAGUGACGGUAAUGGGUAAAGAAGCACCGGCUAACUACGUG
rnacentral:rRNA from 1 species